AGGUGCUAUCUUACCAACACUAAUGCACCGGAUCCCAUGUGAACUCCGCAGUUAAGCGUGCUUGGGCGAGAGUAGUAUUAGGAUGGGUUACCUCUUGGGAGGUCCUCGUGUUGCACCUC
rnacentral:rRNA from 2 species